UUCUAAUAUGAAUUCAGCUAGAAUAGACCCCCUCUGAGACAUGCACGUGUCAACAGACAGUGACAGUGUUCUGUUAUUUAUCAUUUUGACAUUAUUUCCAGUCACCAGAAUCACCACACAAGCACAACUGAGAUAGAGUCGAGAAACUAAGUAUAGAUUAUAGUUAUCGCCCAGGCUAGUUUCCACUCAGGAAAAUUAUCCCCAUGGAUAAUUGGAACGGACAAGAAAGUUUUUCUUUGUCUUGU